rnacentral:rRNA from 1 species
GAUGAACGCUGGCGGCGUGCCUAAUACAUGCAAGUCGAGCGAACAGACGAGGAACUUGCUCCUCUGACGUUAGCGGCGGACGGGUGAGUAACACGUGGAUAACCUACCUAUAAGACUGGGAUAACUUCGGGAAACCGGAGCUAAUACCGGAUAAUCUAUUGAACCGCAUGGUUCAAUAGUGAAAGACGGUUUUGCUGUCACUUAUAGAUGGAUCCCCGCCGCAUUAACUAGUUGGUACGGUAACGGCUUACAAAGGCAACGAUGCGUAGCCGACCGGAAAGGGUGAUCGGCCACACUGGAACUGAGACACGGUCCAGACACCUACGGGAGGCAGCAGUAGGGAAUCUUCCGCAAUGGGCGAAAGCAUGACGGAGCAACGCCGCGUGAGUGAUGAAGGUCUUCGGAUCGUAAAACUCUGUUAUUAGGGAAGAACAAAUGUGUAAGUAACUAUGCACGUCGUGACGGUACCUAAUCAGAAAGCCACGGCUAACUACGUG